AACGGAGGGUGCAAGCGUUGUUCGGAAUUACUGGGCGUAAAGCGCGUGCAGGCGGCUUUCUAAGUUUCGUGUGAAAUCCCUUGGCUUAACCGAGGAACAGCGCGGAAAACUGGAAGGCUCGAGUACGGGAGAAGUGGGCGGAAUUCCCAGUGUAGAGGUGAAAUUCGUAGAUAUUGGGAGGAACACCGGCGGCGAAAGCGGCUCACUAGACCGAUACUGACGCUCAUACGCGAGAGCAUGGGUAGCAAACAGG
rnacentral:rRNA from 1 species